CGGCGCUUAGCGCAGUUUGGUAGCGCACUUGGUUUGGGUCCAAGGGGUCGCAGGUUCAAAUCCUGCAUCGCCGACCA
rnacentral:tRNA from 1 species